rnacentral:rRNA from 1 species
UAGAGUUUGAUCCUGGCUCAGAUUGAUCGCUGGCGGCAGGCCUAACACAUGCAAGUCGAGCGGUAACACAGAGGAGCUUGCUCCUUGGGUGACGAGCGGCGGACGGGUGAGUAAUGCCUGGGGAUCUGCCCGAUAGAGGGGGAUAACUACGGGAAACUGUAGCUAAUACCGCAUAACGUCUACGGACCAAAGUGGGGGCUCUUCGGACCUCAUGCUAUCGGAUGAACCCAGGUGGGAUUAGCUAGUUGGUGAGGUAAUGGCUCACCAAGGCGACGAUCUCUAACUGGUUUGAGAGAAUGACCAGUCACACUGGAACUGAGACACGGUCCAGACUCCUACGGGAGGCAGCAGUGGGGAAUAUUGCACAAUGGGCGCAAGCCUGAUGCAGCCAUGCCGCGUGUGUGAAGAAGGCCUUCGGGUUGUAAAGCACUUUCAGCGGGGAGGAAGGGUCACUAGUUAAUACCUAGUGGCAUUGACGUUACUCGCAGAAGAAGCACCGGCUAACUCCGUGCCAGCAGCCGCGGUAAUACGGAGGGUGCAAGCGUUAAUCGGAAUUACUGGGCGUAAAGCGCACGCAGGCGGUUUGUUAAGUCAGAUGUGAAAUCCCCGAGCUCAACUUGGGAACUGCAUUUGAAACUGGCAAGCUAGAGUCUUGUAGAGGGGGGUAGAAUUCCAGGUGUAGCGGUGAAAUGCGUAGAGAUCUGGAGGAAUACCGGUGGCGAAGGCGGCACCCUGGACAAAGACUGACGCUCAGGUGCGAAAGCGUGGGGAGCAAACAGGAAAAGAUCCCCUGGUAGUCC